GAUGAACGCUGGCGGCGUGCCUAAUACAUGCAAGUCGAGCGAAAGGACGAGAAGCUUUCUCCUUUGAUGUUAGCGACUGACGGGUGAGUAAGGCGUGGAUAACCUACCUAUUAGACUGGGAUGACUUCGGAAGACAAGAGCUAAUAACGGAGCAUAUUUCCAACCGCUUAGAUCAAGAGUUAAACACGGUCUUGCUGUCACUUAUAGCUGGAUCCGCACUGCAUUAGCUAGUUGGUAAGGUAACGGCUUACCGAGGCAACGAUCCAUAGCUGAUCUGAGAGGAUGAUCAGCCACACUGGAACUGAGACACGGUCCAGACUCCUACGGGAGGCAGCAGUAGGGAAUAUUCUGCAAUGGGCGAAAGCCUGACCGAGCAACGCCGCGUGAGUGAUGAAGGUCUUCGGAUUGUAAAACCCUUUUAUUAGGGAAGAACAUAUGUAGAAGAAACUGUGCACAUUUUGACGGUACCUAAUCAAAAAGCCCCGGCUAACUACGUG
rnacentral:rRNA from 1 species